GAGUUUGAUCAUGGCUCAGAUUGAACGCUGGCGGCAUGCCUUACACAUGCAAGUCGAACGGCAGCAUGAUCUAGCUUGCUAGAUUGAUGGCGAGUGGCGAACGGGUGAGUAAUACAUCGGAACGUGCCCUGUAGUGGGGGAUAACUAGUCGAAAGAUUAGCUAAUACCGCAUACGACCUGAGGGUGAAAGUGGGGGACCGCAAGGCCUCAUGCUAUAGGAGCGGCCGAUGUCUGAUUAGCUAGUUGGUGGGGUAAAGGCCCACCAAGGCGACGAUCAGUAGCUGGUCUGAGAGGACGAUCAGCCACACUGGGACUGAGACACGGCCCAGACUCCUACGGGAGACAGCAGUGGGGAAUUUUGGACAAUGGGCGAAAGCCUGAUCCAGCAAUGCCGCGUGUGUGAAGAAGGCCU
rnacentral:rRNA from 1 species